GGAAAACAAGCCAUCACAUUAAUCCACAUAGAUUACAUUAUCUCCACCAUUAAUUUUUUAAGGUAGCGGCUGAGAUUUAAAGAUAUUAAAAGUUACAUACAACUAUUGUAGGUACUAAUAAUUUGUUUGUCACGCACCACUGACACGCCUGUCAUCCUGAACAUGCCAGCCUUUUUAAUGUGUCCGAGACAACCACAAAUACCCGCCACACAAAAGGUAUAGGUGUACGAUAUAGUAGUUGUCAAAGAAGAGUAUACUAUAUGAAAUCUACUAUUCAUAGUUCCAAAUCUACACACGGACUCAAGCAAAGAACUCCACACGUGGUUGGAAUUCCAAAUCUAUACACACGGACUCAACCAAAGAACUCCACUCGGGGUCGGCUAACACGGACAAAAAGAGACACCUAGCUGGCCACGUCCAGCAACGCCCAAGAAGCCAAAACUUUUUUCCAUGUACUACAACACAAGUGAGAUCGGGCAUGAUCCAUAUCAUGCUCCACGUGAGUCUAAACACCAUGACAAAGUGUGAUGGAUGCAAAAAGGGCGUGAUUAGACGGCAUCCAAGAGCAUGGCAAACACCACACCAAAGUGCAAUGGAUGCAAUUAGGGUAGGAUUGGACUAUGUUGGAGGAGUGCAUCAUGAUGGACAAAGUACAUCCAGAAGUUCGCUACAUAGAUAUAGGGCUGCUUUUUGCCAGAGAUCCAGGAAGCAAAAUCUGCCCGACAAGCAGACCACCUACAAUAUAGAAAUCUGCCGAUGCCGUGAUGAAACAAACAAUGUGACGCAAAUCAGCCAAAACUGUGACAGAACAUGUCUGAACGCCAGCCAAACCUUCUGAGUUGCCGCCACGAUGAAACAAACGAUGCAACGCAAAUUAGCCAAAAUUAUGAUAGAUGUCACGACGCCAGCCGAACCUUCAGAGUUGCUGCCUCUCCUGAAUAAUCAAGGUUCGU
rnacentral:lncRNA from 1 species